UGUUUUCAUAAGGGGUAGUUUGGUCAUUUAAUCGAAGUUGAAAGGGAUUAGGGUUUUUAUGCCCGUCUCUCGUUUGAUCGGGCAAAGGGAAGAGAGAUACGACGAAGCGAUGAAAGACACACGAAGGUAGACGAAGGAAGAUGUGAGAAGGAAGCUCGCAGGCGCGCAGUCCACUACUCCGGAUGUCUUAGCCGAUCGCGAAGAGGUAGGCGUCUCGGGGUCGAAGACGCCGAAGAAAAAGAAGGUAGAAGCAGCGAGGUUGAUGUGGAGUUGGCGAAUGGAAGUGAAAGCGAAGUGGAAGAGAAAGAUGCGAGGGAAGGUGCGAGGGACAAAGGAGGUCCGACGGGAGUCGGUCAGUAGCAAUUCGUCGCAAGUGAGGGCUUCGGUGGGUUUUGCUCGACCGGAGGAGGUGUGGGGUGCGAUGGGGAAAACGACUCAGCAACAUCGCCGCAGAUGGUAAGGAAUAGAUGGAACCUAAAUGGGUGUUUGGGUUUGAUUUUUUAUAGGAAAGAAUUAAGAAGAACGAUGGUGAUGAGACUGCCUUGCUGCUUGCAAUCAAUAGGAAGAAGAAAAGAAGCAAUAGGAUUUUUGUGGGUUUUUGUUCUUGAUUGAAAUAUAAUACGAGGCAGGAGGUGUUUAUAGUGUUUGUUUCAUUUGACAGUUCCACGUUUCCUUUGACAACAUUUUUAGUGUUUAUUUGAAUCAAUGACAAACACUAUAAACACCAUUUGUAUCAAUGACAACAUUUUUAUUAAAAAAAGCAAAUUACUAAAACAUCAAUUAAUGGUAUUUCACUAUUUUGGUCAUUUUGCAUAAUUUAUAUUUGAAAUUACAUAUAUAAUCUUCAUAUCUUAUUACCUUUAUAUUGCAUAUCCUCUUAAAUUGUUGCAGUUUUUGUUUCAUCUUUUUUUUUUCUAAAAAAUGCAUAUUAAAGUAUAAUUUUCAAUAAAAUUGUCUAAAAAUGUCUAGACCAAUAUUCUCCACAGUACAUAUUACGUAAUUCUUUGAUCUUGAAGCCACAUCCCAAGCAUCAAACUUUGUUUUUUGAAACCAUGUCGACUAUUUUUGAAUUCCACAGAAAAAUAAAAUUAUUUUGUAUUUAAAACUAGAAAAAAACAUUAUAAAUGGUCAAUGUGGUUACCCAAAAUCUGAAGUUUAGUCCCCAUGGUUUAAAAACCUCAUAGAUGGUCCCUAUGUUUUCAAAACUUUUGAUGUUUUGGUGCUUUUUGCUAACUCCGUUAAGUCUGUCCGUUAACUAAAGGGUAUUUUCAUCAUUUUACCACCACAGGGACCAUUUAUGAUGUUUUCUUUUCUUUUAUUUUUUAAAUUAAAUUUAAUCUUUCCCUCUCUCGAUCGAUCGAUCGAAACAUAUAACCCUCCCUCUCAUUCGUAUCUCACCAGCCAAUACCAUCGUUUCCCGACCUCCUCCAUCCUCUUCCUUAUUCAAACCAAGAACCACCACCACCUGCUACUUUCCCUCUCCAUUCACUGCCAAGGAGAAACGCCAUCAAGGGUGGUGUUCCUGUGGUGACCACCGAGAGGCACAAUCACCUACUGUGGUGACCAUCCAUCGUGAAGGAAAACCCCAAAGUGAUUGGGUCGACAUGAUCUUGACCACUGUCCAAGACAACGAUCUAAAAUUGAUUUCACCAUCGACGAGAUCUUGAGUUGAUUUAGGAGAACGAAGGCGAAGAUGGUAUGGGAAAACACAGCGAUGGCGGCAAUAACAAAUAUGGAAGAUGGACUGUCCAAGACACAUUGUUCUUACUUGAUGUCGAUUUUUGGAUUUCUCGGUAGAGGCGAAGGCGGUGGUCGGCGAAUUACAGCUUCCUACCCUCCAGAUUUAGCGAUUGUUGUGGAAUUUGUCUUGAUUGUUACAAUAGAGAGAUCCGUUUUGGUGAAGAUCAUCCCUACAUCUACAAAAUUCGAUUUAGAUUUAGGGUUCACAUCAGAAAUUGAUUCAGAUUAACCGAUGGUUGUGAAAUCCAUGUCCUUCCCUCUUUCUUGUCCUUAAAAUCAUAUCAUAUUGUGUGAUGGAUAAAUGGAGAUUUCAUCAGGUGUUGGCGAUGGUGGUUAUCGGUGGCGAUGGUGGUUAUCGGAUCUGAUAGGUGUUUCCUAUUCUAAUUUGGAUUUUGAUAACUUUUGUGAUUUAGGGUAAGGGUAAAUGAUGAAGGAGAUAAGAGGGUUGAUUCGACUAAAGAUAAA